rnacentral:rRNA from 1 species
GACGAACGCUGGCGGUGUGCUUAACACAUGCAAGUCGAACGGUAAGGCCCUGCUUUUGUGGGGUGCUCGAGUGGCGAACGGGUGAGUAACACGUGAGUAACCUGCUCUUGUCUUUGGUAUAACUUCAGGAAACUGGGGCUAAUACCGGAUAGGAGCCCCUGCUGCAUGGUGGGGGUUGGAAAGUUUCUGCGGUUGGGGAUGGACUCGCGGCUUAUCAGUUUGUUGGUGGGGGAGUGGCUUACCAAGGCUUUGACGGGUAGCUGGCAUGAGUGGGUGACCGGCGACAUUGGGACUACAAUACGGCCCAGACUGCUACAGGAGGCAGCAGUGGGGAAUAUUGCACAAUAGGCGGAAGCCUGAUGAGGCAACGCCGCGUGCGGGAUGACGGCCUUCGGGUUGAAAACCGCAGUCGCCUAUGACGAAGCGUGAGUGACGGUAAUGGGUAAAGAAGCACCGGCUAACUACGUG